AGUGAUGGCCUGCCCAAUUUACACUCCACUGGCUCACAGUUUCCAUUCUCAACACUCAGAAACCAGAACCGGCUGACAAAUCCUCCCCAGAGGAAAGAGCACAUCACCUAGUCCAUAUUUAUGGCAAGGGGUUAUUCUUACCAACAGAGGUGCUUCCAGGCUAGGGUGGCACUUGGCAUCCCAAAGACCUGGGUUCAAAUCCCAACCUAACCGCUUGCUAGCUAGUGUGACAUGGGCUUAGUUGCUAUCUGCCUCAAUUUCUCCAUCUGUAUAUCAGGGAUAAUAAUAGCACCGACUUCCCAGGGUCUUUGCAAGGAUCAAAUGCAAAGCAUUUUGCCAACCUUGAAGUGCUGUUUAAAUGCCAGCUACUGUUAUUAUUUUCAUUAUUAUCAUAGCCAGCCCAAGCGUUCACAAGAGAUGGGUAAUCUCAAGAAAUAACUGACAUUUACAUAGCAAUUUCUGGUUUACAGAGAGAGAGAGCCAGUCUCAGGACCAGGAAAGCCUGGAUUCUAGUUCUGCACCUGACAUCUAUUGGCUGUGUGACCUUGAAUAAGUCUCCUAACUACUUGGUGAAUGCUCUAUGCAACUCUUUAAGACUGUGUUGGGAGCAGACUCUAAGGGAUGAAUUAUGGCUAAUGUCAGAACAUUUCUGGCAAUGAUCACAUUAGGAAGAUGAUUGAGAAUGACGAGUGAUGUGAUACAAUGGAAAGAGCUCUGCGUUUGAAGCCAGAAAACCUGUGUUCAAAUCCUGGCGUAGCAAUUUCCUUCCUGUGUGACCCGAGUGACCUGGGAUUAUGGACGGGGUCCUUCCUCCCCUGGCAGCCACACAGGAAGAGCGAGGAGCUUCUGGCUUCCUGAACUGGACGAAGAGGACAAGUUAACUGUUGUUUACCCACCAGCAUCUUUCGAAAGGUAGCAAAGAAAGUUCUGCUGAGUGAAUGAGGCUGGUUGUUCAGGAACAAAAAGUGGAGCUCAGCCACAUUAAAGGGCUGGAGACACAUUCGUGAAAACAGGUAGACUUGGGGGAAGAAUGGAUUUCCCUCGCAACUCGUCUUCGAUGGGCAUCCCGCCCCAUUCUCGGUCCUCAUGCCAUGGGCCUGAGGGGAUGAGUGCCCCCUCAUAGAAGGGCAGGCAUCUCCUUUCUUGUAAUGAGAGCCAGACACGCGACUUGAAGUGAGGCAGAGCUGGGUUCAAGUCCUGCCUCAGAGCUUUAUUAGUUGUGUGAUCUUAUUUAACCUCGCUGGAGGUGCUGUCCUUGUAAAAUGGCAGGUCUGAAUGGGACCGCUAAAGGCUUCCAAUUCCAAUUCCGAAUCUGUGAUCCUAUGAGUUUGACUUGGGAGGUUGGAAUUCCCAUUUUCUGUAAUGAAGUUAGCAAUUUGCACAUGGGACAAUGCAGGGAGCCGGUAAAGGAGGAGAAUCGGGGACUAUGAACUUGAGCUCUGUGGGGCAGGAGGACUUGGAUGGACGACAGGACAAAUCCCUGUACUUUGUAUGGUCCAAAGGGAGGGCUUAGUCCAACAGAAAAGAAAAAGGGUAAAGUCUCUCUGGGCUUCUUGUUACUUGUACUUUAAAAUAAACAAACCUUAUCUUCUGCCUUAGAUAUUGGUUCCAAGGCAGAAGGGCAGUAAGGGCUGGGCAAUGAGGGUUAAGUGACUUGUCCAGGGUCACACAGCUGGGAAGUGUCUGAGGUCAGAUUUGAACCCAGGACCGCCCAUCUCUAGGCCUGACUCUCAAUCCACUGAGCCACCCAGCUGCCCCCUGGUUUGAAUAUUCUUGCUAACAGGGGACUAGGCUUUGUAGUUUCUGCCUGCUGAAUGAUCACAAUUACUGUCAGCACCCUCUAAAUUUUGGUCCCUUGGGGAAAAGUCCCCAUCACUCUAACCUAGUUAUAACUUCUCUAACAUAUCUCAUAUUUGAGUCAUUCUUCUGGCUAGUCAGACUUUGGGAUGGUGGGGGGGGACUUUCCCUUUUCUUAGAAGGGGGUGGAUGGGGACAACUAAGGAGCUUGGUGGAAAAAGAGCCAAGCCUCAAGAUAGGAAAUCCUAGGUUCAAAUCUGAACUUAACUGUGUGAACCUGGCCAAGUCACUUCACUCCAAUUGCCUAGCCCUUACUAAUCUGCCUUGGAACCAAUAGCAUAGAUUUUAAAAUGGAAGUUAAGGGUUUAAAAACAAUUAAAAAAAAAGAAGAGGAGGAAUGGAAGGUUGUGGGAGGCACUCCAUUAAGAGGGGAUAAUACUGUCAUUGUCUGUGUUUUCAUGAUAAGUCAGUGGGAAUAAGGAGGAGAGGAGCUAUCGUGGAAAUUCCAAUAUACUAUCAUCUUCCAAAGGGAAAAUGUAUUCUGGGAACCAGAGGGCACCCUUAUCCUUCCAGUCACUGAGAUUUGCAAUCCUGGUCUCUUCCUCGACUUCCUGCUCUCCCCACAAAUCCAAUCAGUUGCCCAAUCUUGUGGUUUGUAUCUCCACAAUGUCACUAGAAUACACUCAAAGAUUCAUUGUUUAUUUGCCAUGGAAUAAAGUGAAAAAGAAAGGAAAUGAAGCAACCCUAGAUGGAGAUAUUCAUUUCCAAUCACUCCCUCCUUCCAUUUUCUUCCUAGAUCUUCACAUGUGAAUGGGAUCCCACAUAACAGAGAGCCACAGUAAGCAAUGAGUAGACAUUAUUUGUUGUUAGUCAUUUUUUCAGUCAUGUCUGACUCUUUGUGACCCCAUUUGGGACUUUCUUGGCAAAGACCCUGGAGUAGUUUGCCAUUCCUUCUCCAGCUCAUUUUCCAGGUAAGGAAACUGAGACUAACAGGGUUAAAUGACUUGCCCAGGGUCACACAGCUAGUUAGUGUCUGGAGUCAGUUUUGAACUCGAGUCUUCCUGUCUCCAGGUCCUGCACUAUCUACCUAUCUACCUACCAUGCUAUCUAGCUGCCCAGGAGAAGGGAUACCCACUACCCAUCUCAAGUUCAUAGCGUAAGAUUAAAAAUUAUAUCCAAUACACCAAAUAUUAUAUUUUCUAAGAAUCUUACUUAUUAAUAAUAACUUGAAGUAGAGAAAAUAAAAACUGUGAGGGGGAGUGAGAGAGAGACAGAGAGGAGAGACAGAGACAGAGAGAGAGACAGAGAGACAGAGGCAGAGAGAGAGACAGAGAGAGAGAGAGAGGAGAGAGACAGAGACAGAGACAGAGAGACAGAGACAGACAGACAGACAGACAGACAGAGAGGAGAGACAGAGAGGAGAGAGAGACAGACAGACAGACAAGCAGACAGACAGACAGACAGAGAAAGGGAGAGAGAGAGAGACAGAUAGGAGAGAGAGACAGAGAGGAGAGAGAGAGACAGAGAGGAGAGAGAGAAAGAGAGAGGAGAGAGACAGAGACAGAGACAGAGACAAAGACAGAGAGACAGAGACAGACAGAGAGACAGACAGACAGAGAGAGAGAAAGAGAGAGAGAGACAGACAGAGAGGAGAGAGAGAGACAGAGACAGAGAGAUAGAGACAGAGAGACAGAGACAGAGACAGAGACAGAGACAGAGAGAGACAGAGAGAGGAGAGACAGAGACAGAGACAGAGACAGAGAGACAGAGACAGACAGAGACAGACAGAGAGAGAGAGAGAGAGAGAGAGAGAGAGAGAGAGAGAGAGAGAGAGAGAAACUGAUCACAGUUGGGGGUAAGCAGGGGAAGAAAAAAAAGGUGGGGUUUCAGCAAACUUUUCUCACCCAAACGUAAGGAUGCAAUGUGGGGACGAAAAAGGAAAGGGAUUCUGGAAAAUGAAGUCCAAGGGUACAAAAUUCUAUUUACACAAUAGACUGAGAAAAAAGUGGAGGAGUAGGGAAGAAGGACCAAGGAAGACAUAGUUUAGAAUCAUGGUCAAAAAAGGGAGAAAGUGAUGUUUGCCAGCCAAAUACAACUCCUAUAUUUGACAUUUAGUCAAUCAAGCUACAAGCAUUUAGUAAGCACUUAUUGUAUACCAGUUACCACGAUAAAUGCUAAGAGUUCAAAAAAGUGAAAUCAUUUGCACCCUCGAGGAACCCCCAUUCUAACAAGGGAGCCACAUAUGUGUAUAAGUAAGUACCUUCAGAACAUAUAUAAAAGGAAUUCAAGGUAGUUGUGGAAGAGGGAGGCACUAAUAGCUAGGGGGAAUCCAUGAAGGUCUCCUACAGAAGGUAGCCUUAGAGCUUUUUUUUUUAACCUUUUCCUUCUUAGAAUCAAUACUAUGUAUUGGUUCCAAGAUAGAAGAGAGGUAAGGGCUAGGCAAUGGGGGUCAAGUGACUUGCCCAGGGUCACACAGCUAGGAAGUGUCUGAAGCCGUAUUUGAACGGAGGACCUCCUGUCUCUAGACCUGGCUCUCUCUACCCAGCUGCUCCCUGGAGCUUGGUUUUGAAGGGAAGUGGUAUUCCAAAGCUCAAGGCUAAGGCAAGAGAGCUUUCUAGGGAUGAAGGACACAUUGGAAAGGGAUGGAGAUGGGAGAAGUUUCACAAAAGAAACAGGUUAUCCUGGAUUGGAUCCAGCAUGAGUGGAGGGGACGAAUGCCCAACAGGAUAGAGAGGCAGAUGGGAUCCAGAUGGGGCUGGAAUUUAAAUAUUAGGCUGGGGAUUUUUCCACUGUAUCCCAGAAACCAUGGGGGAAUGAAGGGAGUGACAGGGUCCGAUCUUUUAAAAAAGAAUCUCAAGUUGGCAAGUAUAUGGAUAAAAGAUCAGAGAAGGGAGAGAUUGAAGAGAGAGAUCCCCAUCAGAAUGGUCAAAGUGAGAGAUACUGAGUUCCUGGACUAAGCCUGGGGUUGUGUGUGUGGAGAAGAGAGGAUGGACCGCAACGGUGUUAUGUAGCUCAGCAAGAUUUGCAGUGAUAUGGAACCUGGAGGGGGCUGGAAGUGUUAAUGACCAAUUAAUCACUCAGAUAUUUUCUAAGUUCUUAUUUAUUAUACACCAUAGUCUCUACGCGGCCCCAGGAUCGCCAAUAUAGAAGUGAGGGUACAAAUGGGGAUGGCCUAAAGAUGGCGAUGCCCUCACUCAACAGAAAUGGGGAACCUUGGAGGAGUGGGGGGAGGAGGGGAACAGAAUGAGUUCCACUAGGAUGGAGCAAUCUAUGAAUCGAAGCAUUAACAUUUAAGACCCCCCAAAAAUAGUUUGGCUUUCUUUUCAGUUCUCAUUCUGGGUUACAAGAGUUUUACACUUAGCCCAGGGUAGGAAUUAAACAAGGGAUAUGUGUGUGGUGGGGGGAGAUGGCAUCUGGAGGAGGAACGUAGCUGAAACCUUGGACAAAGCCGUGAUUCCACACUCAGAGAUGAAUUGAUACUAUUUCACAUUUUAUGAGUCUUUAGAAAGGCCUAAUGUUUCAUGCCAUUGAUUCUAGCUAAUGAGGCUAAUGGACUUGGGAAUUAUGCUUGAAAAGACUGCCUGCUCAAAUGGCUUUUCCAGGUUCCCCAAGUUUCCUUUCAUGGGGGCCAUUUCCUGGCCAUAAUGCCAUUCGUUUUUCCUGCAAAUGAGAGGAGACACUUUUAUAGCACAAUGUCUCCAUGGUGUGCCGGCCAGUCACAGAUGAAGCCCAGGCCUUGCUUCUUGGGGACAUUCUUGGAUUCUAAGCAAGAGCGACAUUCUAUUGGAAGCAUCAGAAAGAAACGGAUUUAUUCCUGCUCUCCCGCGUCCUCUGGAACCCAUGUUUCAUCAGCAUUCAAAGGGUAAAUGGUAAAUCAGAAGAAAAAUGUUGCUAACACAUUGAAAGAUUUUGUCUGUUAGCUUAAAAGCCCCUGCUUUGGUCCCGAGGGAACAGUUCCUUCUCUUUUGCUGUUCUUGGAGUCAAUGGAUUCCACUAGGAGGAAAUGCAUUCAUCUCCAAAGUUCUGAUAUUUAUCAAUGACUAGGAAUGUUUGCACCUGGAAGUACUCAAAAUUUUGUCCUUUUCAAAUGUCAAACUUAAAAAAAAAAGAACCUCAAAGUGUCUGUUCAUGUCUUGCUGAGCAAAUGGAUUUUUAAAAAUCCUUACCUUAUGUCUUUGUGUCAAUUCUAAGACAAAAGAGCAGCAAGGGCUGGCAAUCAAGAUUAAGUGACUUACCCAGGGUCAUUCAGUUAGGAAGUGUUUGGAGUCAAAUUUGAACCCAGUUCCUCCUGACCCCAGGCCUGAUACAUUAUCUACCUAGCUGUCCCUGUAAAUAGAUUUUCUUAUGGAUAAUAAUAGAGGUAAGAAGCCUCAAUAAAAUAGUGAUCUGGAUCUUAUGAUAUAUCUAUAAUUCUCCAUGUCUUCAUCUAUAAAAUGGGGAUAUUACCUUAAAAUAGGGAUAGGACUUAUCUCAUGGGGGCAUUAGGAGAAGUAAGUGAUAUAACAUAUAUAAACUAUUAAAAUAUUAAGUGAUAUAUACAUAUAAGUGCUUUACAAACCUUAAAUGCUAGCCAGCAUCAUUAAUCUAGAACUAGAGGGACUUCAGAGGCCACAUAGCGCAUUCACUCUAUCCCCCAAGAAAUAGAGGUGGCCAGAAUUCCAAGAAGAUAAAAACCAAAAAAAGAGAGAACAAGAAAAUACAUAGCCUCGGAUACCUGUACAAAAAUAUACGAAGAACAGGUGAUAAGCAAAUUGUCCUAGAAAUCCUUCUGCAAAGAGGCAAACUUAAUCUUAGAGGUCUGAGGGGAGCACCUUUCCCACACUUCAGGGUCCCUAAUCCUCAUAAUAUGCUCAGAUAUUCUUGGGGUGGGAGGACUAAUUCCAUAGGCAACCUCGAAAUUUUGUGGGAUGGCACACAUAACUGGAACAGAGUUCUGAAAGUUACAAACAGAACAGGACAGGUCAAGGAAAUACUGCAGAAAAGCACUAUGUAUUAUAGAAUAUAUACUCUCAGGGGGAUCUACAGAAGCCAGAACAAGGAAGAACAAUGGAGCUCUUGGGUGAAGGGUAAUGUAACAAUCUAUAGACCACCUGGGCAGAAGGAGGAAGUAGAUGAGCAGUUUAGGAAAUCUCAUAAACCCAAUGUUUAGCAUAAUGCUUGGCACAAAGUAAGUGCUUAAGUAAUGCUUUUUCAUUCAUUCAUACACUCAUUCAGUCAUUCAUUUACUCAUUCAUUGAGCAAAUAUGUUAUACUAGAGUUCUUGUAAUUGCACACAAUUCCCUCCUAUUUAUCUUUCCUUUUAAUUUGGUAUUGACUUUGACCUUGGCUCUAGCCUGUUGAUAAUUUGCCUGUAAACAGAUAGCUGGUUUUGAGAUGACUCCCAUGUUAGCAGUCAGUUGUUUCCUGUUGGAUAAAACAAAUCAAUUUCAUUUUUUCCCCCACGAUGUAGUUUGGCACUUGUAACAUCUGAUAACGUCUGGCUUUCUUUUCAAAGUUCUCAGGUUGAACAGGAGGUGACUCUGGUGAGUUGUCUAUCAGCUUUUGGCCACUUUUAUUUUUUCAUUCUGAAUUCAGUUCAGUCCAUUGAGCCUUUGAUCAAUAUCUGCAGUGAACCCAGGCAUUGGUGAUACAAUGACAAAAAUGAAAAUAGUCCUUGCCCUUGAGGAGCUUACAGUCUACUGCAAGGGAGAAGAGCAACUUGCUGAGCUUAACCUGCUGUGAGCCCUCAUCGAUCUGAAGAAAUCAGAUUAGCCAUCCUUCCUCAGUAGUGGUGGGUAGAGACUUUUUCCCUUGGGGGAAGACAAGAGACUAUCCAUCCACCCACAAGAUUUUCCAUUGAUAUCUUCAAAAGCCGUAUCUCUAUAUUAGGAAAUUACACCAGUCUGACUCCACAACAGUUGGUGGUCGGUCCUCAGGGACUCAGGACCCCAGACCUGAGCCCUCACCCCUGAAGGGAAUUUAGGUUAAAAUAGAAUUAGGGACUUCCUAAUUUUCCCUCUUCCCUUAGCCUACCAUUCCUGGAUAUCAAAAUAAUAAAUGGACCUUAUUAAUUCAGAAGAACUGAACAUCUUAUUCUUCUAAUGUACUAAGGGGAUCAAGAUAAUAUCCAUCCAGGGAAGAAACCAGAAACCGGAGACUGAAGGGGAUUUCCUCUUUACCUUUCCGCUCUGGACAUUGAUCCAGGCUUCCACCUU